rnacentral:rRNA from 1 species
AGCGAACGCUGGCGGCAGGCCUAACACAUGCAAGUCGAACGAACUCUUCGGAGUUAGUGGCGGACGGGUGAGUAACACGUGGGAACGUGCCUUUUGGUUCGGAAUAACUCAGGGAAACUUGUGCUAAUACCGAAUGUGCCCUUCGGGGGAAAGAUUUAUCGCCAUUAGAGCGGCCCGCGUCUGAUUAGCUAGUUGGUGAGGUAACGGCUCACCAAGGCGACGAUCAGUAGCUGGUCUGAGAGGAUGACCAGCCACACUGGGACUGAGACACGGCCCAGACUCCUACGGGAGGCAGCAGUGGGGAAUCUUGCGCAAUGGGCGAAAGCCUGACGCAGCCAUGCCGCGUGUAUGAUGAAGGUCUUAGGAUUGUAAAAUUCUUUCACCGGGGACGAUAAUGACGGUACCCGGAGAAGAAGCCCCGGCCAACUUCGUG